rnacentral:lncRNA from 1 species
GCCAUUCAUCUCCGUGCUUUGAACUUGUGUGGAAAUUAGUCCUUUUGGAACCGUAAAGAUCGAGAUACCAAGUUAAUGGCCACUCGUGAAGCUCCAGAAGAACAUCAAAGAAUUCAAUGAUGCAGACCACUUUAUGGAAGUCAAAGGCAUUGCUCCAUCCAACUUCCAUGCUAUAACUUGCUAGCAUGAAAUACUGGCUUCAGACGACUUCUGCUUCAGCACCUGCCACAAACUUCCGCAAAGGUAAAGAGAAGAGAAUCAAAUCGCAUUAUAUGCUGGAGAUGCAGGACAAGUAAACACAGCAAACAUGUUGAGCAGAUCAAGUCUCCUACAACACAGAAGCUGACGUCCUUGUCUGUGCCACUGAGCUAGGAGAUUAACUCCAACUUCUAAUACGGUGUAUCUGAAACUGGAUUCAGAUUUGAACACCUCUUCAAGAGGUAGUCACUGAUCCUUGAGGUGAGUGGGACCCUGAUC